UCAGUCACAGCUGGGAUAUGACGGAUGGACAGAAUGAAUGGGAGCCCCAGGAGAGCCCUGGCUGAGCCAAUGGGCAGGCAGUAUCCCAAGGCCAACAAAUGGCCAAUUCAUGGCAUGAAGAGGGGGUAGAUUUCACCAUGCUUCAAUCAUCCAAGCUGUGAGAACUUGUUUCUAGAAUACUCCAGACUACUAUUAUACCUCAGGCCACAUCUUGAACCACUGAUUUGAGCUACCCUGGUGCAAGAAACAACGCAUGCAUAUUCAGUCCCAGGAAACUGGAGACUCGUGCUGGGUUGCUAAACAACAGCUCUGCUUUGGACGGCUUUGGCGUCCUAUAAAUACAGAUCCCCACGGGAGGGUCCGGUGUUCCCUGACUCAGCUCCAGAAAGAGCAGCAGGUUAUCUUAGGCACCAGAACGCAACUGUGCAAGCAAUCCUCAAGCUUCUUCUGUGUCACGAAUGCUAACAUCCUGACUCACAUGACCAAGCCAGCAUCAGUGGACCAGGAAGUGCCUUUGAACACCAUCAGCAUGGUUGUGGUGAAGAUCAGCAGCCCAGGAGGAGGCAGAAUGGAGGCCUGUUCAGGGUUCCCUGGGAGACUCCACUCACAAGCCUCUCUUUGUUUUACUGAUUUAGAGCCUAUUCCCACCAGUAGCCUUUUCUCCAGUGGUGUUUGUCUAAAACAAUCAGAGGCAAUUGUUGAGUAUUGCAGUUGCCUAAGGCAGUGGGGAAAAGUUGGACAAUCAAUAGAAUAAAAUAAAAACUGGAGAAUGACACAUCCAUAGGAUGCUUUAAAAAGUUCUAAGCUAUUUCUGGGGCUCUGGAAGGUCAUGCACAUACAUAUGGUUGUGUGCAGGCUCAGGAAAGUCCUUAAAACUCUGGAAGCUCUGGGGGUACCUAGGUGGUGCAGUCAGUUAGGCCUCUAACUCUUGGUUUUGGCUCAGGUCCUGGUCUCAGGGUCAUGAGAUCGAGUCCCUCAUUGGGCUCUGUGCCCAGCAUGGAGUCUGCCUAGGACUCUUCUCCCUCUCCCUUUACCCCUACCCCUAAAAUAAAUAAAUAAAUAAAUAAAUAAAUAAAUAAAUAAAUAAAUCUUUUUAAAAAAUCUGGAAGUAGGGGCGCCUGGGUGACUCAGUUAGUUAAGUAUCUGUCUUUAGCUCAGGUCAUGAUCCCAGGGUCCUGGGAUCGAGCCCCGCAUCGGGCUCCCUGCCCAGUGGGGAGCCUGUUUCUCGCUC